AAAGUAUAUAAUAAUAAUACAUCAGUCAGUCAUUCAGUCAGCUCAGCCUAUUGCAGUCCACUGAUGGACAUAGGCCUCCCGAAGUUCGCGCCAAACAUCCCGGUUUUCCGCAAUCCUCAUUCAGCCUACACCGGCAAUCUUACGUAGAUCGUCGGUCCAACGGGCCGGAGGACGUCCCACACUGCGUUUGCCAAGACGCGGUCU
rnacentral:misc_RNA from 1 species